GAACGAACGCUGGCGGCAGGCUUAACACAUGCAAGUCGAACGGGUGCAGCAAUGCAUCAGUGGCAGACGGGUGAGUAACACGUGGGAACCUUCCUAGGGGUACGGAACAACUCAGGGGAAACUUGAGCUAAUACCGUAUACGUCCGUAAGGAGAAAGAUUCAUCGGCCCCUAGAACGGGCCCGCGUCGGAUUAGGGUAGUUGGGUGGGGUAACGGCCUACCAAGCCUGCGAUCCGUAGCUGAUCUGAGAGGGAUGAUCAGCCACACCGGGGACUGAGACACGGCCCAGGACUCCUACGGGAGGCAGCAGUGGGGAAUCUUGGACAA
rnacentral:rRNA from 1 species